AACGCUAGCUACAGGCUUAACACAUGCAAGUCGAGGGGCAGCAUGGUCUUAGCUUGCUAAGGCCGAUGGCGACCGGCGCACGGGUGAGUAACACGUAUCCAACCUGCCGUCUACUCUUGGACAGCCUUCUGAAAGGAAGAUUAAUACAAGAUGGCAUCAUGAGUCCGCAUGUUCACAUGAUUAAAGGUAUUCCGGUAGACGAUGGGGAUGCGUUCCAUUAGAUAGUAGGCGGGGUAACGGCCCACCUAGUCUUCGAUGGAUAGGGGUUCUGAGAGGAAGGUCCCCCACAUUGGAACUGAGACACGGUCCAAACUCCUACGGGAGGCAGCAGUGAGGAAUAUUGGUCAAUGGGCGAGAGCCUGAACCAGCCAAGUAGCGUGAAGGAUGACUGCCCUAUGGGUUGUAAACUUCUUUUAUAAAGGAAUAAAGUCGGGUAUGGAUACCCGUUUGCAUGUACUUUAUGAAUAAGGAUCGGCUAACUCCGUGCCAGCAGCCGCGGUAAUACGGAGGAUCCGAGCGUUAUCCGGAUUUAUUGGGUUUAAAGGGAGCGUAGAUGGAUGUUUAAGUCAGUUGUGAAAGUUUGCGGCUCAACCGUAAAAUUGCAGUUGAUGCUGGAUAUCUUGAGUGCAGUUGAGGCAGGCGGAAUUCGUGGUGUAGCGGUGAAAUGCUUAGAUAUCACGAAGAACUCCGAUUG
rnacentral:rRNA from 1 species